CCACACUGAACAGCUGAGAGGAUCAUUCUGCUGCAGGUUUUGGUUUUCAUCUUUACACCAUGAAGCUGCUGACCGUUUCUCUGCUCAUCUGUGUCCUGAUCGCUCUGGCCCAAGCUGCUGCGAUUGAUCAUCAUCAACACCAUCAUGAGGCACCAGGAGAAACCAUGGAGGAGCAGGAGGCCGGAGGAAGAGUGAGA